rnacentral:rRNA from 1 species
AGGGAAUAUUGCACAAUGGAGGAAACUCUGAUGCAGCGACGCCGCGUGAGUGAUGAAGGACUUCGGUUCGUAAAGCUCUGUCGUACGGGAAUAAUAAAGUGAAUGUACCGUGCAAGAAAGGAUCGGCUAACUUCGUGCCAGCAGCCGCGGUAAGACGAGGGAUCCUAGCGUUGUUCGGAAUCAUUGGGCGUAAAGCGGGUGCAGGUGGCUUUGUAAGUCAGGUGUGAAAUCCCAGGGCUCAACCCUGGAAGUGCAUUUGAUACUGCAAAGCUUGAGUGCUGGAGAGGCUAUUGGAAUACAUGGUGUAGUGGUGAAAUACGUAGAUAUCAUGUGGAACACCGGAGGCGAAGGCGGAUAGCUGGCCAGACACUGACACUCAUACCCGAAAGCGUGGGGAUCAAAC